rnacentral:rRNA from 1 species
GACGUAGGGGGCGAGCGUUGUCCGGAAUUAUUGGGCGUAAAGAGCUCGUAGGCGGUCUGUCGCGUCUGCUGUGAAAACUCAGGGCUUAACCCUGAGCUUGCAGUGGGUACGGGCAGACUAGAGUGCGGUAGGGGAGACUGGAAUUCCUGGUGUAGCGGUGAAAUGCGCAGAUAUCAGGAGGAACACCGGUGGCGAAGGCGGGUCUCUGGACAGUUCCUGACACUGAGGCACGAAGGCCAGGGGAGCAAACGGGAUU